CAGCCGCCGCGGGAAAACGUAGGGUGCAAGCGUUAAUCGGAAUUACUGGGCGUAAAGCGUGCGCAGGCGGUUAUAUAAGACAGAUGUGAAAUCCCCGGGCUCAACCUGGGAACUGCAUUUGUGACUGUAUAGCUAGAGUACGGCAGAGGGGGAUGGAAUUCCGCGUGUAGCAGUGAAAUGCGUAGAUAUGCGGAGGAACACCGAUGGCGAAGGCAAUCCCCUGGGCCUGUACUGACGCUCAUGCACGAAAGCGUGGGGAGCAAACAGGAUUAGAUACCCCCGUAGUCCCUGACUCUUAUAC
rnacentral:rRNA from 1 species